UACGUAGGGUGCGAGCGUUGUCCGGAAUUAUUGGGCGUAAAGAGCUUGUAGGCGGUCUGUCGCGUCUGCUGUGAAAAUCGGGGGCUUAACCCUCGGAUGCCGGUGGAUGCUGUCGGGCUUGAGUACGGAAGAGGCGAGUGGAAUUCCUGGUGUAGCGGUGAAAUGCGCAGAUAUCAGGAGGAACACCAAUUGCGAAGGCAGCUCGCUGGGACGUUACUGACGCUGAGACGCGAAAGCGUGGGGAGCAAACAGG
rnacentral:rRNA from 1 species